rnacentral:rRNA from 1 species
CUACGGGAGGCACCAGUGGGGAAUAUUGCACAAUGGGCGCAAGCCUGAUGCAGCCAUGCCGCGUGUAUGAAGAAGGCCUUCGGGUUGUAAAGUACUUUCAGCGGGGAGGAAGGGAGUAAAGUUAAUACCUUUGCUCAUUGACGUUACCCGCAGAAGAAGCACCGGCUAACUCCGUGCCAGCAGCCGCGGUAAUACGGAGGGUGCAAGCGGUAACGGAAUUACUGGGCGUAAAGCGCACGCAGGCGGGUGGUUAAGUCAGAUGUGAAAUCCCCGGGCUCAACCUGGGAACGGCAUCUGAUACUGGCAAGCUUGAGUCUCGUAGAGGGGGGUAGAAUUCCAGGUGUAGCGGUGACAUGCGUAGAGAUCUGGAGGAAUACCGGUGGCGAAGGCGGCCCCCUGGACGAAGACUGACGCUCAGGUGCGAAAGCGUGGGGAGCAAACAGGAUUAGAUACCCCAGUAGUC